CAGCAGCCGCGGGAAAACAGAGGGUGCGAGCGUUAAUCGGAUUUACUGGGCGUAAAGCGUGCGUAGGCGGCUAAUUGAGUCGGAUGUGAAAUCCCCGAGCUUAACUUGGGAAUUGCAUUCGAUACUGGUUAGCUAGAGUGUGGGAGAGGAUGGUAGAAUUCCAGGUGUAGCGGUGAAAUGCGUAGAGAUCUGGAGGAAUACCGAUGGCGAAGGCAGCCAUCUGGCCUAACACUGACGCUGAGGUACGAAAGCAUGGGGAGCAAACAGGAUUAGAUACCCCCGUAGUCCCUGUCUCUUAUAA
rnacentral:rRNA from 1 species